GUUAAAUUAGCAAAAUACUAAUGCACCUGAUUUAGGUUUAGGAGAUAGAAGCUAAACAUUCUAUUUAAUA
rnacentral:tRNA from 1 species